AUUGAACGCUGGCGGCAGGCCUAACACAUGCCAGUCGAGCGGAUGAAGGGAGCUUGCUCCUGGAUUCAGCGGCGGACGGGUGAGUAAUGCCUAGGAAUCUGCCUGGUAGUGGGGGAUAACGUCCGGAAACGGGCGCUAAUACCGCAUACGUCCUGAGGGAGAAAGUGGGGGAUCUUCGGACCUCACGCUAUCAGAUGAGCCUAGGUCGGAUUAGCUAGUUGGUGGGGUAAAGGCCUACCAAGGCGACGAUCCGUAACUGGUCUGGGAGGAUGAUCAGUCACACUGGGACUGAGACACGGUCCAGACUCCUACGGGAGGCAGCAGUGGGGAAUAUUGGACAAUGGGCGAAAGCCUGAUCCAGCCAUGCCGCGUGUGUGAAGAAGGUCUUCGGAUUGUAAAGCACUUUAAGUUGGGAGGAAGGGCAGUAAGUUAAUACCUUGCUGUUUUGACGUUACCAACAGAAUAAGCACCGGCUAACUUCGUG
rnacentral:rRNA from 1 species